rnacentral:rRNA from 1 species
GCUGGCGGCAUGCCUAACACAUGCAAGUCGAACGAGACCUUCGGGUCUAGUGGCGCACGGGUGCGUAACGCGUGGGAACCUGCCUUUAGGUUCGGAAUAACUCAGAGAAAUUUGAGCUAAUACCGGAUGAUGUCUUCGGACCAAAGAUUUAUCGCCUUAGAUGGGCCCGCGUAAGAUUAGCUAGUUGGUGGGGUAAAGGCCUACCAAGGCGACGAUCUUUAGCUGGUCUGAGAGGAUGAUCAGCCACACUGGGACUGAGACACGGCCCAGACUCCUACGGGAGGCAGCAGUGGGGAAUAUUGGACAAUGGGCGAAAGCCUGAUCCAGCAAUGCCGCGUGAGUGAUGAAGGCCUUAGGGUUGUAAAGCUCUUUUACCCGAGAUGAUAAUGACAGUAUCGGGAGAAUAAGCUCCGGCUAACUCCGUG